rnacentral:tRNA from 1 species
GGGGAAUGUCGUACAUGGUGACAGGUUGGUUUUGCAAACCGACUCAGGUGGGUUCAAGCCCCACAUUCUCCACUGG